rnacentral:rRNA from 1 species
UACGUAGGUGGUAAGCGUUGUCCGGAAUUACUGGGCGUAAAGGGCGCGUAGGCGGCGUCGCAAGUCGGCUGUGAAAGCCCGGGGCUCAACCCCGGAGGUGCAGCCGAGACUGCGGUGCUCGAGGUCGGAAGAGGAGGGUGGAAUACCCAGUGUAGAGGUGAAAUUCGUAGAUAUUGGGUGGAACACCGGUGGCGAAAGCGGCUCUCUGGUCCGAAUCUGACGCUGAGGCGCGAAAGCGUGGGGAGCAAACAGG